rnacentral:tRNA from 2 species
CCUUCGAUAGCUCAGUUGGUAGAUCGGGGGACUGUAGAUUUAUUACUGUGAUCCCUAGUCGCUGGUUCGAAUCCGGCUCGAAGGA